rnacentral:pre_miRNA from 1 species
UGUGUACUCCCUCCGUUCCAAAAUACUUCACUUCCAUUUGUCCAAAAAUGGAUGUGCCUAUAUACUAAAACAUGUCUAGAUACAUAUAUAUUUUGACAAAUAGAAGGCAUGUAUUGUGCAACGGAGGGAGUAGAAU